rnacentral:rRNA from 1 species
UACGGGGGGGGCAAGCGUUGUUCGGAAUUACUGGGCGUAAAGGGCUCGUAGGCGGUCAACUAAGUCGGAUGUGAAAUCCCCAGGCUUAACCUGGGAACUGCAUCCGAUACUGGAUGGCUUGAAUCCGGGAGAGGGAUGCAGAAUUCCAGGUGUAGCGGUGAAAUGCGUAGAUAUCCUGAGGAACACCGGUGGCGAAAGCGGCGCGCUGGAUCCCUUCUGACGCUGAGGCGCGAAAGCCAGGGGAGCAAACGGG